GUGCUGGCUUCAGCAACACGUAUACUAAAAUGAGAAUAUACCAAGAAGAUUAGCAUGGCCCCUGCAGAAGGAUGGAAUGCAAAUUCAUGAAACAUUCCAUAUGUUU
ensembl:snRNA U6 U6 spliceosomal RNA